rnacentral:rRNA from 1 species
UUCCGGUUGAUCCUGCCGGAGGCGACCGCUUUUGGAGUUCGAUUAAGCCAUGCGAGCAGAAAGAAAUUAGAUUCUUUGCGAACUGCUCAGUAACACGUGGAUAACCUGCCCUAUGCUCUGGAAUAACCUCGGGAAACUGAGAACAAUACCGGAUAGAUCACAACGCCUGGAACGGUGUGUGGUUCAAAGAUUACGGCAUAGGAUGGGUCUGCGGCGUAUCAGGUCGUAGGGGGUGUAAAGGACCUCCUAGCCAUCGACGCGUACGGGUGUUGGGAGACAUAGCCCGGAGAUGGAUUCUGAGACACGAAUCCAGACCCUACGGGGUGCAGCAGGCGCGAAAACUUCACACUGCAGGAAACUGUGAUGAGGGAACUCCAAGUGCGCGCACUUAUGUGUGCGCUUUUCUUGACUAUUAAUCGGUCUUGGAAUAAGGGCUGGGAAAGACCGGUGCCAGCCGCCGCGGUAAUACCGGCAGCUCAAGUGGUCGUCGCUUUUAUUGGGCCUAAAACGUCCGUAGCCUGUUUGGUAAAUCUGUGGGUAAAUCAACCAGCUUAACUGGUUGAAUUCUGCAGAGACUGCCAGACUAGGGACCGGGAGAGGUGUGGGGUACUCUAGGGGUAGGGGUAAAAUCCUGUCAUCCUUAGAGGACCACCAGUUGCGAAGGCGCCACACUGGAACGGAUCCGACGGUCAGGGACGAAGCCUAGGGGCACGAACCGGAUUAGAUACCCGGGUAGUCCUAGGUGUAAACGCUGUGAACUUGGUGUCGGGAGUCCGCAAUGGGCCCCCGGUGCCGGAGUGAAGAUGUUAAGUUCACUGCCUGGGGAGUACGGUCGCAAGGCUGAAACUUAAAGGAAUUGGCGGGGGAGCACUGCAACGGGAGGAGCGUGCGGUUUAAUUGGAUCAACGCCGGA